rnacentral:rRNA from 1 species
UGGGGAAUAUUGGACAAUGGGGGCAACCCUGAUCCAGCAAUGCCGCGUGUGUGAAGAAGGUCUUCGGAUUGUAAAGCACUUUCGACGGGGACGAUGAUGACGGUACCCGUAGAAGAAGCCCCGGCUAACUUCGUGCCAGCAGCCGCGGUAAUACGAAGGGGGCUAGCGUUGCUCGGAAUGACUGGGCGUAAAGGGCGUGUAGGCGGUUUACACAGUCAGAUGUGAAAUCCCCGGCUUA